rnacentral:rRNA from 1 species
CCUACGGGAGGCAGCAGUGAGGAAUAUUGGUCAAUGGACGAGAGUCUGAACCAGCCAAGUAGCGUGAAGGAUGACUGCCCUAUGGGUUGUAAACUUCUUUUAUAUGGGAAUAAAACGUUCCACGUGUGGGAUUUUGUAUGUACCAUAUGAAUAAGGAUCGGCUAACUCCGUGCCAGCAGCCGCGGUAAUACGGAGGAUCCGAGCGUUAUCCGGAUUUAUUGGGUUUAAAGGGAGCGUAGGUGGAUUGUUAAGUCAGUUGUGAAAGUUUGCGGCUCAACCGUAAAAUUGCAGUUGAAACGGGCAGUCUUGAGUACAGUAGAGGUGGGCGGAAUUCGUGGUGUAGCGGUGAAAUGCUUAGAUAUCACGAAGAACUCCGAGUGCGAAGGCAGUUCACUGGACUGCAACUGACACUGAGGCUCGAAAGUGUGGGUAUCAAACAGGAUUAGAUACCCUAGUAGUC